rnacentral:rRNA from 1 species
AUGUAUGAACCAAAGCCAUUUCCGAGCACUGGAUCAGCUCACAGCAAUCCGAUUUCUCAUGAUCAACAAAUCGGACCAACUGCCAAUAAUGCGGCGUCCAAUAUUGGUGGAAAUAGCUCAAACAACAGCUUUGCCACCAGACAGCGUUUACGGUGGACAGAUGAGCUUCAUGGAUGUUUUCUUGAGGCUGUAACACGACUUGGUGGACCCGACAGGGCUACUCCAAAGGGAAUUCUUAGAACAAUGGGUGUUCAAGGGUUGACCAUUUAUCAUGUCAAAAGUCAUCUGCAGAAAUAUCGGCUUGCAAAGUACAUCCCAGACCCCACAGCUAGCGGUGACAAGUUGGAGAAGAAAGAUUUAGGAAAUCUGCUUGCAGGAAUCGAAAGCUCCCCGGGAAUGGAAACAAGCGAGGUUCUAAAGUUGCAGAUGGAGGUGCAGAAGCGGCUGCAUGAACAAUUAGAGGUACAAAGGCAGCUACAGCUCAGAAUAGAAGCCCAAGGCAAGUAUCUCCAGAAGAUCAUGGAGGAGCAGCAGCGCCUGAGCGGUGUGCUGUGCGAAUCAGGUAAGCCGAACGCCCUCGCCCUGGCCGAGGAGGAGCUCCACCAUGAUUUCAGCAAGACUGAGCCAUCGACCCCAGUCCUGACCUCAGAGCCCCCAUUCCGGGACAAUGCCGUGACUGCAAGUGGUGACCUGGAAGGAACAGAUGAGCUGCUCAAGGCUCUUUCUUCACAUGACGACUGCCUCUCCUUGGACCGUGAGUUUUCGACACCGGAUUCCAGUUGUGGUGCCGGUUACCUCCUAAACAGCCCCAGAGAUAGCAAGAGGGCUCGUGUCAGCAACAGCCUUGGCCACGGAAACAGCGAGUUCGCACUUCCUCACAUCAUUCCGGAAUCGAGCUCGGGUUCUGAUUUGCAGCUGAGCUCGGUGUUCUCAUCCGGCACAGGGCGAUCUGGUUCAUCGGCGGCUUUGGAUGCCAUUGAAGAUGGCUUUACCAAUGGCCCGGGUAGUGAUGUUUGA